GGACUACAGGGGUUUCUAAUCCUGUUUGCUCCCCAUGCUUUCGCGCCUCAGCGUCAGCUACAGCCCAGUAAACCGUCUUCACCACCGGUGUUCUUCCACAUAUCUACGCAUUUCACCGCUACACGUGGAAUUCCGUUUACCCUAACUGUGCUCAAGUCUUGUAGUUUCAAAUGCAGCUCCGGGGUUGAGCCCCGGAAUUUCACGUCUGACUUACAAAACCGCCUACGCGCCCUUUACGCCCAGUAAUUCCGAUCAAUGCUUGCACCCUCCGUAUUACCGCGGCUGCUGGCAC
rnacentral:rRNA from 1 species